rnacentral:rRNA from 1 species
UACGUAGGGGGCAAGCGUUGUCCGGAAUCAUUGGGCGUAAAGCGCGUGUAGGCGGCCUUGUAAGUCCGUUCUGAAAGUCCGGGGCUCAACCCCGGGAGGCGGAUGGAUACUGCAAGGCUCGAGUCCGGAAGAGGCGAGUGGAAUUCCCGGUGUAGCGGUGAAAUGCGCAGAUAUCGGGAGGAACACCUAUGGCGAAGGCAGCUCGCUGGGACGUUACUGACGCUGAGACGCGAAAGCGUGGGGAGCAAACAGG